CACAGAGGAAGGAGAACUGUUGCAGGCGUGGGGGAAGCCUAAGCUCAGGAGGCUCAGGCUUAGCACUGGACGUUUUGGGCUAUGCAGCCCUGUGUGGUUUUGCCCAUGAAAAAUGUCAACACAUAUCGCCAAAUAUACCCCGAGGAACAAAAUUACUUCAGGCCCUGUUCUAUCAGCACGCAGUCCAGCUGAUCCUGUUUAGAAUUACCCUCCUCAGCUCAAGGAAUUUACCGGAAACAUAAUUCCAUCUAAAAGUUGGAAGUCCUGGAAGCAAUGGGGAGACUGCGGUCAGCGACACGGACCGUUUGAUAGGGUGGUGGAGAACGGAGCGGAGCGCAGGUUGCCUCGGGGAUGGGAAGGAUACAAAGAAAGCAAGGUAGAAAAGGACGUCAUAGAUGACACCCCGGGACCAAACGCUCCUCUGUCUUCCCUCCACAGUGGACAAGGCUGGGUGUGGCUCUCCCCACCAGCUCCUUCUGUCAGGGAUUGAGCUUUCAAAGCCCGGAGCAGCUGCUUAGCCAAGAAGUCAUUUAGAAAAUGGAAAUAAACCACCCAGUACC
rnacentral:lncRNA from 1 species